CGCCCGGUCGUCUAACGGUUAGGACGUCCGUCUUUCACGCGGAAAACCGGGGUUCGACUCCCCGUCGGGCGA
rnacentral:tRNA from 3 species